rnacentral:rRNA from 1 species
UAUUGGUCAAUGGCCUAACGGCUGAACUGGCAACUUGGAGAAGUGGCAAGUCUUCCAGUAUGGGGAGCAAAACAGCUAUGGGUCAAGUCCGAUAUCUUUAGGAGAAGUCUUAUUGUGAGGGCGAGUUAUAUAACACCAUAGGACUGGCCGUCCCAUAUGAAAAGAUUAUAUUAGAAUUGAAUGAAGCUUUGUUUAUAUAUUGAUAAUGACAGUAUAUAUAUCGUGUCUUGACUAAUUGCGUGCCAGCAGUCGCGGUAAUACGUAAGAGACUAGUGUUAUUCAUCUUAAUUAGGUUUAAAGGGUACCCAGACGGUCAAUAUAGCUUAUAAAAUGUUAGUACUUGACUAGAGUUUUAUGUAAGAGGGCAGUACUUGAGGAGGAGAGAUGAAAUUUCGUGAUACCAAAGGGACUCUGUAAAGGCGAAGGCAGCCCUCUAUGUAAAAACUGACGUUGAAGGACGAAGGCACAGAGAACAAACAGGAUUAGAUACCCAAGUAGUCUUUGCAGUAAAUGAUGAAUGCCAUAGGUUAGAUUGAUCAAUUAUAGUCUAGGGUUAGUCUAGCAAACUAAUGCCCUAUGAUAUAAUUCAAAAUAUCUGGUCUAUAAAUGAAAGUGUAAGCAUUUCACCUCAAGAGUAAUGUGGCAACGCAGGAACUGAAAUCACUAGACCGUUUCUGACACCAGUAGUGAAGUAUGUUAUUUAAUU